rnacentral:lncRNA from 1 species
UACUUAGCAAUUUCAUUAAUAUUUAGGAUGUAUGUAAAUGGGGGUUGCCCUAGGCAGUUGGUUUGAUUGCAUAAAAAGUAAAUAAAUGACUGAAGAAUAAAAUCGGUUUUGAGAUGUGUUUAGAGAAGGGAUUAAGUCUUUCGAUUCAUCCGUCCAUCGCUCAUUAGUAAUCUACAUCUAAAUCAUAUGAUUGCUAUUCAGUUUACGACAAUUAACAAAAUAGCUCAGGUCAAUCCCUUGACUCAGAGCCCCUCUUUUCUAAUUAUAAUUCCCUAAUUCCUUAGGUGAACCUAUAAUCAUCAAAGGUUUUAAAUCCGUUAAUUUUAGAAUCACAACCUAACAACUUUCCAUCCCUAGAUUGUCUGUUAAAUUGAACAGCAUAAAUAUGUCUGAGUUAUAAGCUGGUGUCAG